rnacentral:siRNA from 1 species
UGGAGGUUUUUUGCAGUAUGAU